CAGGAGGGACCACCCUCCAAGGCUAAAUACUACCUAGUGACCGAUAGCGUAUAGUACCGUGAGGGAAAGGUGAAAAGAACCCCGGGAGGGGAGUGAAAUAGAACCUGAAACCCUGCACUUACAAGCUGUGGAAGCACAUUUCUUGUGUGACCGCGUACUUUUUGUAGAACGGGCCAACGAGUUACGUUAAGUAGCAAGGUUAAGCACUUAAGGUGCGGAGCCGUAGCGAAAGCGAGUUUUAACUGAGCGUUCAGUUACUUGACGUAGACCCGAAACCGGGCGACCUACCCAUGAGCAGGAUGAAGCGAAAGUAAAAUUUCGUGGAGGUCCGAACCCACGAGCGUUGAAAAGCUCGGGGAUGACUUGUGGGUAGCGGUGAAAUUCCAAUCGAGCCCGGAGAUAGCUGGUUCUCCCCGAAAUAGCUUUAGGGCUAGCCUCAAGGUGAGAGAUACGGAGGUAGAGCACUGAAUGUCCUAGGGGGUAUUGCACCUACCGAAGACUAUCAAACUCCGAAUGCCGUCAUCUUAUACUUGGGAGUCAGACUGUGGGUGAUAAGAUUCAUAGUCGAAAGGGCAACAGCCCAGAUCGUCAGCUAAGGUCCCUAAAUGUAAGUUAAGUGGUAAAGGAUGUGGGAUUGCACAGACAACCAGGAUGUUGGCUUAGAAGCAGCCACUCAUUCAAAGAGUGCGUAAUAGCUCACUGGUCGAGUGAUCCUGCGCCGAAGAUUUCCGGGGCUAAAACUUACUACCGAAGCUACGGCAUCAGUAAUGAUGGGUAGGGGAGCUUCCCAUACGGGUUGAAGCAUGACCGUAAGGACAUGUGGACAGUAUGGGAGUGAGAAUGUUGGCAUGAGUAGCGAGAUGUGGGUGAGAAUCCCACAGGCCGUAAACCCAAGGUUUCCAGGGGAAGGUUCGUCCGCCCUGGGUUAGUCGGGACCUAAGCUGAGGCCGAAAGGCGUAGGUGAUGGACAACAGGUUGAUAUUCCUGUACUACCGAUAACCGUUUGAGAGAAGGGAUGACACAGUAGGAUAAGCUAAGCACACUGUUGGUUAUGUGUGCCCAAGCAUUGAGGCAGUCAAAGUAGGCAAAUCCGCUUUGAUAAUGCUGGGAUGUGAUGGGGAGCGAAAUUUAGUAGCGAAGUAGCUGAUUUCACACUGUCAAGAAAAGUCUCUAUCGAGGUUAAAGGUACCCGUACCGCAAACCGACACAGGUGGGUGAGGAGAGUAUCCUAAGGCCAGCGAGAGAACUGUUGUUAAGGAACUCGGCAAAAUGACCCCGUAACUUAGGGAUAAGGGGUGCCACCAUCAGGUGGCCGCAGAGAAUAGGCCCAAGCGACUGUUUACCAAAAACAUAGGUUUCUGCUAAGUCGCAAGACGAUGUAUAGGAGCUGACGCCUGCCCGGUGCUGGAAGGUUAAGGGGAUCUGUUAGAGCAAUCGAAGCAGUGAACUUAAGCCCCAGUAAACGGCGGCCGUAACUAUAACGGUCCUAAGGUAGCGAAAUUCCUUGUCGGGUAAGUUCCGACCCGCACGAAAGGCGUAACGAUUUGGGCACUGUCUCAACAACAGACUCGGUGAAAUUGUAAUUCCGGUGAAGAUGCCGGAUACCUGCGACAGGACGGAAAGACCCCAUGGAGCUUUACUGUAGCUUGACAUUGGGUCUUGGUACUACAUGUACAGGAUAGGUGGGAGGCUUUGAAACCAGGACGCCAGUUUUGGCGGAGCCAUCCUUGGGAUACCACCCUUGUAGUACUGGGACUCUAACCAUAGGCCAUGAAUCUGGUCUUGGGACACUGUCAGGUGGGCAGUUUGACUGGGGCGGUCGCCUCCCAAAAGGUAACGGAGGCGCUCAAAGGUUCUCUCAGUACGGUCGGAAAUCGUACGUAGAGUGUAAAGGCAAAAGAGAGCUUGAUUGCAAGACAUACAGGUCGAGCAAGGAUGAAAAUCGGACUUAGUGAUCCGGUGGUUCUGCGUGGAAGGGCCAUCGCUCAACGGAUAAAAGCUACCCUGGGGAUAACAGGCUUAUCUCCCCCAAGAGUCCACAUCGACGGGGAGGUUUGGCACCUCGAUGUCGGCUCAUCACAUCCUGGGGCUGUAGUAGGUCCCAAGGGUUGGGCUGUUCGCCCAUUAAAGUGGUACGCGAGCUGGGUUCAGAACGUCGUGAGACAGUUCGGUCCCUAUCCGUCGCAGGCGUAGGAAAUUUGAGAAGACCUGUCCUUAGUACGAGAGGACCGGGAUGGACGUACCUCUGGUGUACCAGUUGUCCUGCCAAGGGCAUGGCUGGGUAGCUAUGUACGGAAUGGAUAAGCGCUGAAAGCAUCUAAGCGCGAAGCCAACUUCAAGAUAAGAUUUCCCACCGCAAGGGUAAGACCCCAGAAAGACUAUCUGGUUGAUAGGUCGAAGGUGUAAGUGCAGCAAUGUAUUUAGCUUAUCGAUACUAAUAGGUCGAGGACUUGACCAA
rnacentral:rRNA from 1 species